AAAAAAAACUAAUUCACACCAUUAGAAGUUACACAAUUUGCACAGUUUCCUUCACACUUCUUCCUCUUCUCCCUUCUUCCUCUAUUACUCGGUUCCAUUAUCUGCAAAAGCAUUAUAUGUUACCAGUAGCAGGACAAUUACAAUUUCUAAGGGCAAUCUCAAGUUUAUCCUCCACAACACAAACUCAAAUUCAACUUUUAGAAAAGGUAUUUCUUUUAACAUAAAUUGAGCCAAAUUUAUCUUUCAAUUUGAUUGUGUUUUAGCCAAAAAGAACUGUCAUUUUUGCAUUAUGGGAAACUCAUAGAUAUUAUAUAACUAAUACAAUUACAUUUUGGUUUGAUUUUUGAAGUACUUGACAGGACAAUUUCAAGUUCUAAGGGUAAUCUCAAGUUUAUCCUCCACAACACAAACUCAAAUUCAACUUCCAAAAAAGGUAUUAUCUUUUUAACAUAAAUUGAGCCAAAUUUAUCUUUCAAUUUGAUUCUGUUUUAGCCAAUAAAAAAACCGUCAUUUUUGCACAUACUAAGAAACAGACCACAAAUUCUUAAAUAAUUAAAAAUUUCGAACCCACACAAAUUGCAGAAAUAAAAAAUAAUCUACUUUUUCUUAAAAUCUACUAGCUUUAGUUCCAUCAUGCUUUUUCACUCUCAGCUACAGCCGUGGUAAUACUAUACAUUUAUUUUCUUCCUCUUGGAGUGAGAUUUUGUAGUCAGUCAGUUAUCAAGUACAAUUUCAAAAUUCAAUUCACGUUUUCACCUCAAUCACUUUAUCUUAUUAAUGCUAAUCUUUCCUGGUAUAUUAACUGAGUAUUAAUGCUAAUCUUUUUUUCCCCAAAUUAAAUUUGUCGAGGCAUUUGAUUUCUUCAAACUUUCACUCUAAUUUUCACCAUUUCUUUAAUACAUACAAUUACCCAUCAAAAAUUAUGUAAAAAGUUAAUCUCGGAAUACACAUGCAAAAGGAAAUUGAACAGAUUUAACACUCACCUACAACCUCUGAUUUUCAAAAGGAAUAUACCAGGAAAAAGAAAUAAUUUUAUGACACCACCUCCAUCGCCGUCGUCAACUACCACCAACGCUCUUUCGAACUUCCCCAAAUCACCUUUCACAAA